AAUGAAUUAUGUUACUAUUUUGCAUCGUCUCUCCAUUUGAAUCUUUUUCAGGAUUGUGAAGUAGAGCAUGAACACGAGUAUUGGAAAUAUGUAGAGGAAGGUAACUUGUUAUGGUUAAGGUUAUUAUAAGUUUUGCCUAAUUCUAUUAGUUCUUAUGAUCCUGAUGCAAACUUGAUGAUUCUCUUGUUUGCUUCUUUCGUUUGGUCUUAAUUUAUCUCAGGAGCCUGUUCAAAUCAAUUAUGCACUUACUUUCUUACUGAAAUUUAGAAUGUUCAUUAGAACUCAAAGAAACUUGUUGAACUCAGUUUGCUUCUUGUUCCAUUAGGAUAAACCUGAGAGAGACACUACUUUGCCAACCGAGAUAUGCCAGAAACUUGAAGACGAUUUGAGCUAGUGAUAUCAAUUAGAGGACCAGAUGGUCCAGAUUCAUCCAAUCAUUGAUAAAGAGCCCGUACCAACCUGAUAAACGAAGAUACAUCAAAACACGAAGAGUACCUGAUCAGCCUCUUCCACAUCUAGUUUAAACUGCAUACAUGCAUACAUGCAUACAUGCAUACAUUCAUAUAUGCAUACACAUGCAUAUAUCAUACAUUCAUGCAUAUAUUUGCUUUCUUGAUUUUUUUAUUAGAUCAUUGCUUGCUUCUUUAGUACAUUUGUUAACAACUUGUUCUUGUUUGUUUCUUGUGCUUAUCUCAGUUCGUAACGUGCUUGCUUGUUUCUUGCACUGAUUGCUUACAUGUUUAGCUUGUUCAAUUAAUUCCUUCUUUGUUUCAUUGAUUAUUUGAUCGUUGCUUGACUUGUUUGUUUGUUUCUUCUUGGUUCCUUGAUUUACUUUACUUCAUUGGGCAGCCUUCUUCUUGGAUACUCGCUUACUUAAUUGUUUCAAUCAUUUUCUUUACACAUUCGUUUGCUUGUUUCCUUCCUUGAUCCUUUGGUUUUUCUUUUUCUUUUUUACUUUCGUCACUAUUUCUUACUUGAACUUCUCUACUUGUUUCGUUGUUUGCUUACGAUUUUCAUUUGGUUUCUCGCUUUCUUUUGCUUUCUUUACUUCUUCCAUAGUUCCAUUGCUUGCUUAGACGUAAUUGUUUAAGAAAACAUCUCCCCA
rnacentral:lncRNA from 1 species